GCUAUGAGCGUCGACGGCGGCUCAUCUGCGUCGGCGUCCCCCUCCAUGGUGACGCGGUGGUGGAGGACCAUCAAUCAGCCAUGGCCGAGUAAGUGCAGCUUCCUAAACGGGUCAGCCCACAAGGAAACAUGGCCCACCAACCCGCUCACCGCUCCAAUUCAAAACCUCCGUCUCUUUUUUUUUCCGCUACAAAAAGGAAAGCAGCAAAUGAGGCAGCCGCCGGCAGCUGUUAACUGCAAUUAGUGUGCGCUAAUCAAAUGCCACGGCCACCCGACCCGACCGUUGUGAACCAUCCCCAUCCAUAUUCCACACCGCCUUGGCCGCACCGCGCCUAGGAUUCUGUCGCAGGUUUAGUUCCUGUUGGAGUUGAUGCGGGGGGUUCUGGAUUGCGCGUCGGGUUUUUGGGUGAUUGGUGCACCGGGAUCGAGAAUCGAAGGGGAGUCCUUGGAUCGUCGGUGGCUCUAGGAUCAAGGAUCCAUGGGACAUGUCCGCGAGACGAAUUUUUGUUCGAGACUGGUUUUGAGGGUUCAGUCGUCGCUGCUGGUUCUGGAGUGAGGGUUGGAUUUGGCGGUUCGGCGUCCUAGGAUCGAGGAUCAAACGAAUAAGGAGAUGAGGGCAAGGGAAGUUCUGGUUCCUGCAGCACAAGGUCGUCAAGAUCCAGAAGCCGUCGUCAAAAGCGGAAUAAAGAGGAACCAGGCAAUUCAAAGCAGCUCAGGAGGUCCAUGUCAUUCUCAUCCCCGGCCAGAAACAGAUGCUUAGACGAACGAUGCUUUAGCUUCUCUUGCGAUGUUCCAUGCUCAUUGUACGAUGAAUCCGAUGCACCUCGGCAUCCCAAAGAUGUCGUAUAAGUGGUUUCCAUUGCCUGAUGAUUACUAUCAGUACUCCCUUAUAAUCUAUAAUGUAUACAAUGAUUGAAAUAAUGGUACUGGCUAUAAACAGGUGGUGCAUA